GGAGGACUGUAGCUCAGUGGUACAGCAUCUGCUUUGCAUGUAGAACGUCCCAGGUUUGGUUCCAGUCAUCUCCA